UAAGGAAAUCAUGGGAUGUUCUUGCUUCUCUAAGUGAAAUUGUUCAUUUGGGUUUCGACUGCAAAAGUCGGCUGCAAUAUUAUCCCACCCUUUACAGUAACUAAUGUUAAAGGUAUACUGUUGUAAUAGAAGACUCCAUUUUGAAAGGCGUGCACUUGUAUAAUUAGCAUUAUUUAAGAAAGUUAGUCCCUGAUGAUCAGUUAUAAUUUUAAAUUCAGUACCUAUCAAAUAUACUCGAAACUUUUGUAUUGCAUAAACAAUAGCUAAUAAUUCUUUUUCCGUUGUGUUAUACCUUGUUUCAGGGGAAGUCAAACAUCGACUCACUAUAGAUAUGGACCUCCCCAUUAUGAUUCAUUGAUAUAAAAUUCCACAAAUGCCAAGGUCACUUGCAUCACAUUGUACCUUUAGAACGAUUCCCGGAAUCAAAUGUCUUAGUACAACACAUUUUACAGAUUCCUAAAAAGCUCUGAAGUUGCUUUUUGCUUUGCGGUUCCGAAAAUUUGGUAAUAAUCUUUAAUCUAUAAGGAUCUGGUCUAAUACCAUCAAUUGAUAAAACAAAACCAAGAAAGGGCACAGACACCUUUCCAAAUCUACAUUUGGAUAACCGUAGUGUGAAAUUAUAGGAUGAUAACCGCGUAAAUAAUAAGUCCAAGUGACAUAGAUGUUCUUCAAAAUUUUUGGACGUAACAAGUAAGUCAUCAAUAUAAGAAACUAGAAAAUCUUUAAAAUUAUCUCCCAGAGCCAAAUUUAAUGCUCUUAUGAAUCCACUACCUGCCGUUUGUAACCCAAAAGGGAUCCUACAAAACUGAUAUAGAGUUGAAUUGUAUAAGAACGCUGUAUAAGGUCUUGAAGUAUUUGCUAACGGUACUUACCAAUAACCAUGAGUUAAAUCCAUUGUGGAUAUACAUUGUAUUCCAUGGUGGCAUUGUAAUAAUUCAGAAAUUAAAGGUGGUGUUUCAUUAUUUCCUUCUAUUACAUCAUUCAAAAAUCUUGCAUCAAGGCACGAUCGAAUUUUACCAUCUUUUUUCUCUACUAUACGUAAUGGAUUACAGUAAGGACUACAAGAUCGCUCAAUGAUACCGUCCUCUAACAUCAUUUUCAAUUCUUUUUCAACAGCUGUACAUUUUGCCAAUGGUACAGGAUAUGAUCGUUUUAUGUAGGGUUUAGAUUUACUUAAAUGGAUUUCAUGUUGAUAAUGGGUUAUGAAACCAGGUUUAUCAGAAAAUAGGCGUUUGUGCUUCACCAUAAGAUUAACAAAAUUAUUCCGCUGGUCUGGUCUCACAGAUGUUAGACUUUGCGCGAUUGAUGAUACAUCGGCUAAAAAACUAUCAUUCUCUGAUUGCUCACUUUGAAGUGGCAUAUUGUAACGUGACAAAACGAUCAACCUCUCAGUACUCCUGUACUGAGAGCGCACCCGUUACCAAGGGACGACAAGGACACGCGGCUAGUAUCAACACGCGCCGAUAGAUGAAGAACGUCUCCCGAAAGUCACACCGCGGAAAAAUAAUAUCAAAAUAAUCCGCUAGAUCAUUAGCGCUUCCCGCUAACAAAUAUCGGAUUACAGGUCAUUGAACACAACAGUUCAGACCAAUCAAAGUCAGUUAAGUCAUAAUAGUCGAAAACCUGAGUUAUUAGAGAGGAUAAUCAGAGAUUCCGAACAGACCAAGUACAAAAUUCUCGAUAAGUGUCACGGAAGCACAGCAUACGUAACAUAAAUCGAAAUCUGUCAGAUAGUCAAAAAGUUCAUAAUCGUGUCGAGAGGCUACGGGAAAUUAGCAUUUGCUACUCCAAGUAGAUCUCGCGUAGAAAGGUUGUCAAAGCUCUGCGGAGACCACCGUGAUCUUCCGCAGAGACUUUUGUUAUCGCCAUUUUGUAAUCUGUCAUCCGCGCCGUUAGGAGUUGCGUCGCAUACAGUGCCAUAGCCACUAGGUAGGCAAAAUGCUACUAGGGUUAUCAAACCAACGCCGGCAGAUCCUCUGUUACCUCACGCACAGGUCAGAGAGAGAUAGGGAUAGACAACAAACGUAGGCAGACUCCUAGACAAUCCUUUUUCCUAAAAUACCGACAAUAGAUUACGACUAGGUAAUUGUCACCGAUUAUAAAACUACUGUAUCGAUUAUUUAAUAAAAUUUUGUUAUUUUAUUUUA